rnacentral:lncRNA from 1 species
CAGAGAUCAUUCUGGCUAUGGAAAAUGGACCAGAAAGAAGAAGAGUAUACAUGAAGGAGUGGUCAGGAGGACAUCAUCACGGCUCAGUUACAGGUAAAUCCUUGGGAUUUGGUGUGCAGCUGCAGCAUAGUUUUCUGGGUACUUUCCAGAAUCAACAAGCACGACAUCCAGGACUGUAUAAAUGUGGCUCAUUUGCUAACUUCCUCACUCCCACAGCGGGCAUGCCUGGCUCUGACUCUGACCUCAUGUGAAAUAAAUGACCUAGAGACUUAACAGGGCACUCAUGUUUCCCAACGU